GAAGGUCAAUUUCAUGAAUUUUUGAAACCAAAGCUACAAACUUAUUUGGACUCACGUGAAAGAAGGAUGCCUGAAAUGAUCUUGGGUCUUUGAUAAAUGUUUAUUGAAGAAAUGUCUGGGGUGAAGAGUAAUGGAAAGGAAGUCAAUGAUUCUUAAACAGAUCAGCAAUCAAGUGUGAUAGAUAUCCAGAGGGAUUCUCAGUUGUACUCAUUUCAAGUAGACAUCAAAGAUAACCUGGUUUCAAUGGUUAAAGGCUACAAAUUCAACUUCAUUUGUUGGGAAGUUUCCCUGAUGCUCAACCCAAGCCUGCCUCUCUGCACCUGCUCAAGGUCCCUGGCUCAGCUUCCUCUCCAAUCAGUCUUCACACAGCUGACAAAAGAAUCUUCCAAAGACACAAGGCACUCAUUUAUUAAAAAGUCUCAUUUGCUUCCCAAUCCUGAGAAAACAAAAUAAAGUGUCUUAUCUGGCAUUUAUUACCUCUCCAAUCUGACCCCUGCCUGCCUCUCCAGCCUUCUUUCAUGUCCUAAAGGUACUUUAUGUUGUAGUCAUUCCACAAUUGGAAUACUCU
rnacentral:lncRNA from 1 species